GGUUAGGUAAAAUUUAUAUAAAUUAUCUGUUCAAUAAAAUGCAUAUACAAUAAAAAAUUUUAAAAUAUUUAGAAUUUACAGCAUCAAAUUUGUCUCUAUAUAGGUAUAUUCAGUUUCAUACCAGUCAUAGUUCUAACAUGUACAGUAUAAAAUUUUUUUUUUUUUAACUUUAGUUUAAUAUAAUUUAACUUAACGACAAGAAUGAUAGAUUAUUUAUCUAAUUUUAGUCUGGUGAGCGAAUCCGUAUUAAUUCAUAUUUCUCAGUGCGAGGGCAUCUUUCAUGUAGUUGUAGAUUCUCAUUAGAUUAGCUUUAUUUUGGAUAUUCAGUAUCGCAAAGAUAAUAGUAGGUUCGUUGAACUCUGCCAUUAGGUCCUGAAAGUACUUUAUUCUAGUUUGCUCAUAUCUCUGGCACUCAAUUAAUAAGUGCAGUAUUGUUUCUGUGCUUUGUUGCCCACACGCUUCACAUGGAAUAUUAGUAUUGAGUUUAUACAAGUAGCUUAUGCUAUGGCACGUUAUGAAGCAAUAAUAUUUAUUCGCCAGUUUGAGUUGUAAAAUUAGCCUGGUUAGUUCCAGAGAAACUCUUAAUCUUAGAUAUUUGGGAGUAGAUAAGUUGAGAGAUCUGACAGAUUGGACUUGUAGUGAGGUCGAUCUGAGGUAUUGGGAGUAGACAGCUUCUCUUAGAAAUUUUUCAUAGUUGGCUAAGAAUACGUCUUUAGUUUUCUCGCUAGAUUUGGGGUUCAAGUCCUUGAACAUGUCCCCGAGUCCUUGAUCUGCAAAAAUCUUGGUAAGAGUGGCAAUCUAAUUUUUCUUAUUUCCCUGGUUUAGGUUAUUGAUAUUAAUUUCUUUAUAUAUAAUACAUUUUAGGCCAGGAAGAUUCUCUCAUAUUUAGCACCUUAAUUAUCAAAGUCCAUAUGAGGCUUAGUGCACGAGUAGAUAGUCUUGUUAGUCCCAAUUCCAGUCUAAUGAUGUAUCCAGGCGUAUUCUAGGGCAGGUUGAAGAUUUGCUUGAAAUAAUCUGCUUGUACUUUAUCAAUUUCCUGGAAAUUUCCAGGACCCCAGGUUUGAACACUGUAUAGCAGAGUGGAGGUAACCAAGCUGUCAAAAAGCCUGGCUUUAGCAAACCAGGAGUCUACUUUCGCUUUGUAUAGCACAGAUUUAGUUGCACCGAGAGCUUGUCUGGCAUUGUUGACUGCGUUGGCUGUGGCAAGGUCUGUCGAAGCUUUGUUCCUGAUUAUUGUUCCCAGAUAUUUAAUUUGGUUGACCGUUUUAAUUGGCUUACCCUCAAUCAUGAAAGCAUUUUUUUCAAUAUUCUUGAUUCUUCCUGAUGCUCUGCAUACCAGAAUAGAGGAUUUCUCCACAUUGACCUUUAACCCGAUACUUUUAAAGUAUUUGUUUUAUAUACUUGUGUAUUUCGGUCAACACUUGAGAUAUCAGUGUGUGAGUUAUCUUCAUAAAACUGCGUGGAAACUCGAUGGAGCAUGUAUGGUCACACGUUGGUCAUCGCUUCCUAACUGGUUUUUGUUUGUUAUGUAUUAUAUCAUAUACUCGUAAUUCGACAUCUUUAUAAAUAUACUUGUAUGUAUGUCAUUGAAUCACUUUAUAUUUUUUUCAUAAAAUUCUCAAUCAAAAGCAUUAAUCUAACCACUGGACUAACCAUGCUAUACGUUGAAGCAGAUAUCUAAAUAAUUUAUAACGUAUAAGCCAACAUUCAAAUAACUGUCAAUUACCUUCGAUAUACGCACAAAGUUAUGGUCUGGUUUUGAAAUACAAUUUGGCAUUUUCAAAUAUUGAACCGCUCACCAAUAUCGUAAAUAUGAAUUGUUAAUUAAUCCUUUGGUGUACUCAAUCAUUUUCAGUCAUUUCGCAAUUCAAUUGGAAUCCCGUUGAAGCACUUUAUAGGUGAUGAUUUUUCCAACAAUUUGUGUGCUCUAACUGUCAUCCAAUGCAAAUACGGCUGUCAACUAUUCAAUCAAAUUUGAAUGUGGGGAGAAUCGAUGCCCAAACAAAUAAUCUUCACUCGAAAAGAAAAAAGAAUAAUUUAAAGAUGCUGAUGACUUUAGCGAGCUUGGAAGUAAAUCGAUUAAAAACUUCGAUUACUAUUACGAGGUUGAAUGAGUACUAGUACAUUUUACAAUUGAGCUAGAAAAGAAAGAGUAUUUCAUUAUCAAAAUCUUCGACUCCUAAUAAACUCCCAGCGCAACCUGAUAAAGGCUAACCAAGAGCAGUAAUCUGAAUUUAAGACAUUAGUACUCAAGGGGAGUGCAGAGGAAUCCCAAUCCCAAGCAGAAUCAGUUCAUUCAAUUCGAAAAAUCUAUUCGUGAAGUGUAAAGAUUGUUAAUAGUAUGGUGUUCAAUUCUGAGAAGAGCUUUACAGAAUGUUGAUCGCUGGAGGUGCUAAGUUGAUGUGAAUUUUAAUGAGAUUCACCAUUUUUUUCUUGUUUUGACCGGGAUGGAUUUAUAUUAAGUUAUGGAAGCACUUCUUCAUGAUAAAUCCUACGUUCCAAGCAAAUACCAUAGAUUUAUCGCUCCACUGUGCGACUAUUAGUUUAGUUUUAAACGGUACGGUAUAUUUCGUUUAACUGCAUUUACCUCCGUUACACACGAUUGGUGCGUUUUAGAUACAGUUAGUACGUUUUGUUUGAAGUUGGCUUAUGAAAAAUAAUUUGCAAUUUUAUUUUGCUUUUUUGCUUACGCCAAUAUGUCAAUAAUUUCUUCCAUUUCGAAAAGUGGAUGAAAUUACUAAUUUGGCACGGAUAAAUUAAAAUUUUCAAUUUCUAAAAUG